GCACAUCUUCAUUCUCCCAGACCAGCACUUUUCAGAGUAGCUUUUUGUUUCCAUUCCAUCUUCUUCUAUUCCCCAAUCACUUUUUGAAAUAAUAUUUAUUGUUAUUAAACUUGCCCCAUCAUCUUUUUUAUUUUUCCUCUGGGUUCUGGGAGAGUUUCCUAACCUUAUCUUCCCCUUCCUUGAUUUACAUUUCUGUGGCAUCCAGUGCCUCCGUUGGGGUUUGUAAUUUGGCAAUCACAUUUUUCAUCUCUGGGCUGCCUCUCCUGCUUUCAGAUAUCUCCUCCUCAAAUUUGCUUCAACUGUUUUCCCAGCAGCCAUUUCCCCUUGGAUCUUACUGAGAACACAAAUCAGAUUCUUUUUUUUUGCACUGAGUUGAUUUCAUAGUUUAUUUUGCGUAUUUGCUUGAUUCAUCUGACAGGUUCCCUUCUUCAGAAGCUUGGAGUUCCUCUGGGUCUCAUGCAUUCUGUCUGAGUCAAGCCUUUCAGAGAGAGGGGAGAGUUGGGAGCUGAGGUACAGUCAUUCCAAAUGAUGGGGUCACCUGUUUGAAUUUUUCACACAAGAGAUUGACUCUAGCUUCACUUUGCUAGGUCAGACUGGGUCCGGCUGCUCCGGCAGAGUAGAUGGUGGAGGUUGGGGGAAAAAAGCAGGAAAGAAGGCAGCACCCUAGGCUCCAGGUUAGAAGACUUCACCCACAUGCCAGAGACACCUUCUCACAUCUACAGUGACAGAGAUGUUCUGCCUGAGGCAACUGUGCUCUGAGAAAGCAGCUCCGUGUUCCCCGUCUCUGCCUGAGACCAUAGUCCAUUCCAAGAGCUGGAGCUGGAAACGACUGCACCCCAAAGAUACUAAAGAGCUGGUGAACUUGGUGCUCCUCUUCCUCCCUUCUCUGCCCCCACCAUCCCCACCCACUCUCCAGCCCUCUCCCUUGGGUUUGGUGGGUCCUGGUGGGCGAGGGGGUUCUAAGCCUCUUCCACUUCCCAGGCUGGUCGAUGCUUCACCAUUUCCCAUGAGCACCUGCUUUCUUCUCCCAUAUACUCUGAAUGAUUCAUAG
rnacentral:lncRNA from 1 species